rnacentral:rRNA from 1 species
GAAAGCGUGGGUAGCAANCAGGAUUAGAUACCCUGGUAGUCCACGCCCUAAACGAUGUCGAUUAGCUGUUGGGCAACUUGAUUGCUUAGUAGCGUAGCUAACGCGUGAAAUCGACCGCCUGGGGAGUACGGUCGCAAGAUUAAAACUCAAAGGAAUUGACGGGGACCCGCACAAGCGGUGGAUGAUGUGGAUUUAUUCGAUGCAACGCGAAGAACCUUACCUGGUCUUGACAUGUACGGAAGAACUCAGAGACGAGUUUGUGUCUUCGGGAACCGUAACACAGGUGCUGCAUGGCUGUCGUCAGCUCGUGUCGUGAGAUGUUGGGUUAAGUCCCGCGACGAGCGCAACCCUUGUCAUUAGUUGCCAUCAUUUAGUUGGGCACUCUAAUGAGACUGCCGGUGACAAACCGGAGGAAGGUGGGGAUGACGUCAAGUCCUCAUGGCCCUUAUGACCAGGGCUUCACACGUCAUACAAUGGUCGGUACAGAGGGUAGCCAAGCCGCGAGGUGGAGCCAAUCCCAGAAAACCGAUCGUAGUCCGGAUUGCACUCUGCAACUCGAGUGCAUGAAGUCGGAAUCGCUAGUAAUCGCAGGUCAGCAUACUGCGGUGAAUACAUUCCCGGGUCUUGUACACACCGCCCGUCACACCAUGGGAGUGGGGGAUACCAGAAGCAGGUAGGGUAACCGCAAGGAGCCCGCUUGCCACGGU